rnacentral:misc_RNA from 1 species
CUCUAACUGACAUUUGAUUUGCAUGCAUCAUAAAAGGAGAUAUCGUAUAUCAAACCAAGAGAAGAUCCUUAAUUUUCCAGAAGUAAAUAUCCCUACCAUAUAAGUAAAAUACUUAAGAAUAGUAAAGCAAUGCAAAAAUACCAAUCUAAGUAGCAAGAAGCUUCCUUUCAAGACUAUAUGAAUUACACAUGAAAGUGAAACAAAAAUACAUCAUGAUACCCAAGGCUGAAAGAACAAAAUUUUCUACAAAUUGAGUACAGCAAUCAUAGUUAUCAAGGGAAAAUACUCUUGCAUUUGAAAACUGACCAACGUAAAACAAAGAUUUUAGCUUUAGCGAGCAUAUAGUUAAGGUUAAUUCCAUUGGAUGUAAAACUAUAGAAACCAUCGAUAUACUAGAAAGCAGCUAAAAAUCAUAAGAUAGCCAUCAAGGGAAUGUAAACAAAAAGCAAUACUGCUUCUCCCUAUUUUGGAGUUAGGACAGACCCUGAACAAGGUUAUCAGCUGAGAAGCGAUCUUCUACAUGAAAGAAGCAAUAAAUUUUGAAUUGUAUCAAUUUAUUUGUAAAAUUACACUCUUAACCACAGGACCCAUAUCUCAGAAUUGCAUAAAAAAACUUUAAGAAAAAAGCACACAUAAAGAGGCCUAGAUUCACACAUAUCCAUGCAUGAUUUCAUACAUUGGCCUAUAAAAUGUUAAUCACAUUUCACAAUUAUCCCCGUGUUUCAACUCUUUUACACGUAUAAACUUGUAGCGCCUACCAAGAAACCCACAUUAUCUACUGUCUAGCAAGAAGGAUAGAAAGAGAGGGGAGGACCUUGACAUCAUGGGCAGCCCUGAAUUGCAAAGCGGGACCCACAUCAAAGGAGCCCUUGAUAAGAGCAAUUUGGUCAACAAGAUCAUAGUGAAUGGAGAGGAGUUUCGAAGUGAAGGUAAUUUGGGGUUCAGAGACCUCUCCUUUGUUGUUGUUCUGGAAAGAGAGCUUGAGUUUAACCAAGCUAUCAAACAACUUACAUGAGACCUUAUGGAA